UCAUUGCAACCCUCAAGCACUGCUUGGUAUUGGGCUUCGUCCCCGCGACGGGCCUGGAACAUCGUGGCGGUCCAGUGAGACUUCAAGCGUAGCAAGAUUUUUAUCCCGCUUUGGAAGCCUCUCGCUGCGAGCCAGCCAAACAACCCCUUCUACUUUCAAUGGUUGACCUCGGAUCAGGUAGGGAUACCCGCUGAACUUAA
rnacentral:misc_RNA from 1 species